GUGGCUGGAUGUUUUCAAGAGCUCCUGAGCCUCCUGCACAGACAGGAAGGGAGUCAUUAGUGUGCUAACGGCAUGAGGACAAGCUUGACGAUCAGAGAAAUCAUCGCGGUGGUGACAAUACUGCCUUGGGUCUCCCCCGUGCGUGGCUUUGUCACUCUUCUCUUUCUCCGCACGACAGACUUCUCUGCUUGUGGCCUUACGAGGAGCUAUAAACAGUGGUCUGGGCAAAACCCUUCUGUAACCUUCGGGACCCUCGACAGUGGUAACAGCAGGAGUUAGAGCCCCAAGAGCCACAGCCUGGAAGGAUACAGGACCCACAAGCUCAAGAAACCCUCACAUACUGUAUAAACUCACGGGAGCAGACGCUGGACUGUGGCCUGGGUCAACAAGAGAAACGAGCUUUCUUUGCUGAAGAUUAGUUUCAACAGGAAAAAGAAAAGGAAAAAAAAAGAAGAAAAGGUUAUUUGGGAAACACCCAAAAGCCAAAACAAACUGUCAACACAACUAUACUGUCCCUACACUUUAGUACAAGAGUUCUAAGAAAAAGAACUUUAUUAUAUUUUUUUAAGCAGUGCAUGCUUUCUUCCAGCUUUAACAUAGAAUCAUUUUUGGAUUUGCUCUUCCUCUCAAUUACAAGGUGAGGCGGUUUGCAGCUGAGUCUCAGGAAGGGGAAGCUGGAAGUACUCAGAAGCUCUUCAGAGUGAAAUGUUGAACCAUUUGUUCGUACCUGGUAAUAUGGUGUUUAAUUUAAUCGACAGUUGUGUUAAUGAUAUGUUUGAGAAUAUGUGUUGUUUUGUAGGCAAAUGACUGUUGCAGUUUAAACUCAACUCAUUGUCAAGUCUUUGACCAAAUAAUGUUCUGGGAAGAUGGGGAUUAUUGAAAAUCUGUCACAGGAAUGGCUGUGAGGAUAAAAUGUACCAACAUUAUGAAAGGUCGUUGGUGAGGGGUAACUCUACAAGGUAUUCUCUCUCUCUCUUUUUUUUUUUUUAUAAGAUAUUAUUCUUAAGUGGCCAUAGUAUGUCUGUACAUAUCUUUAACUUUUUUGAGAAUAAUACCAUGAAUAGUUUUACUAAAUGAAGUCUCCCAGUUUCACAAAUCCAAUUAAACUCCAUAAUUCUUCCUGUUGAAGCUGAGGUGUCCAAUACAACUGCUAAUGCCCUUUGACAGUGCUGUAGUUCUUCAACAGAUAAAGAGGUCUAUAAUUUUUAAAGAGUUGCUGCACUUUAUGGUUUUCCAAAUUCCUGAAAUACAAUUUUGAAGUAUGAAAAACUUAAGGCAAAGUCCUACUAAGAAAAACAAAGCUCUCCAGCUGGAAAAAUUUGACACAUGGUCUUUUAGCAAAAGGCUAAAUGACUUAACUAUUUGGCUAUAUUUAAAGCAAAAGAAGAAAUAUACAAAAUACAUCACCAUAGAACAUAUUCUGUUAAGGCUUGGGCUCUGGGAAUUCUCCUGGCAGUACUUUUUCCAGGGUUGUAAUUUAUCCUCUUGCCUUAAAUUUACAACUUACAGAAAUGGUAAUCAUCUCCAUGCUACAGAAAAGGCAACCGGAAGAGAGCUAGGAGAUAGUAGAAAAGAGCGGAAAGCAAAGUCUCCAUGGCUUAGAUGUUUAAAAAUGUUUGAGAUAGAAUGGGCAUAGAACUCCACGGCUUCAUCAUGCAUAUUUGUACGUAUGUAACAUGUAUAUUACAAACGUACACAUACACACAAGAAAUGGAUAGCCUUCCUCAAAGGCAGGGUUUACGUAAAAAAUAGACAUUGUAAAAAAUAUAUUUAUAAAACCCUAAACAUUGAUCUUCCCCGAUGUCUUA